rnacentral:rRNA from 1 species
CCUACGGUGGGCAGCAGUGGGGAAUAUUGCGCAAUGGGGGAAACCCUGAUGCAGCAACGCCGCGUGAGUGAAGGAGUACUUCGGCAUGUAAAGCUCUAUCAUCGGGGAAGAAGCAAGACGGUACCCGACUAAGAAGCCCCGGCUAACUACGUGCCAGCAGCCGCGGUAAUACGUAGGGGGCGAGCGUUAUCCGGAUUCACUGGGUGUAAAGGGGGCGUAGACGGCGAGGCAAGCCAGAGGUGAAAGCCCGGGGCCCAACCCCGGAACUGCUCUUGAUACUGCAUGGCUGGAGUGCGGGAGAGGAAAGCGGAAUUCCUGGUGUAGCGGUGAAAUGCGUAGAUAUCAGGAGGAACACCGGUGGCGAAGGCGGCUUGCUGGACCGUGACUGACGUUGAGGCUCGAAAGCGUGGGGAGCGAACAGGAUUAGAUACCCUUGUAGUC